GGUAUUGGCCAUGUCCAAACUGUCUGAUUUUCUUUUCCAAGUGGUGCUGAGCAUCGUUUUCGAAAUUGGACUUCUCCAGAUUGCUGUCAGGCUCAAAUGGAAAGGAAGGCCUCCAGUCGGGGGUGCAUUGACAACUUGGAAUAGGGCAUUGUUAGUGCCCUGGAAACGGGAUACCCUACCCAGGUGUCUUGACGUAUGAUUCUUCAGGGUCACAUGGACUCACGUGGAUUGCUAGCGGUGCAAUAUGAUUCCCGCGCUUUUUUGUAACUGAUCAGUGUGGCAUCACCCCCCAGUGUGGAAAGUGAUCAUGUCACUGUUUACACUCGCCUGUAUCAAAAUGUAAACGAAAGUGAUUUCUGUACUGUUAGAGGUGAAGCACCUUUGCUUUGGUUGCAUACAAGAUGAUGUAAGUUUAUCAGUCAUGGGUCCUUAACAAACAGAUUUGUGUCUUUAAAAUCUAGACGCCUUGCUAACUUACACAGCGCAUCGUAUGUACUAAAAAACAGGUGACAAGAAUAAUUUACGAAAGCUGUACAGAGACCGUAAUUUGCGCUUCGGCACUAAAUUUAUGUACGGGUGUGAAGCCAAGGCUCCUGCAGGCGAAUGAACCCAGAGUGGCUGUAGUGAAUAAAAAAAAGCUGUAGAUUUUUAAGUUGACAAAGUGGUACUCAGUCAAAUAUACGGCGACAAAUGGGGAUUUAUGUUUUCGUUUGCUGCAAAAUGUCAGUAAUAGGCGCAUGAGGCGCGAUACGCAAUUCGUCAACCACAUUAAGGUUUAUGACAUGUGGCAAUUGUUGAUAUUACUCAAAAGCGUACCAUAUCAUAAUGUCGUGUAAACCACAGGUCUUACAUCGGAAACAUCUGCCCAUCUGUUGAUGUUAUCAAGAGCACCGAUCUAGGCUCAAUAUGUCCGGACAGGUGCAUAUGGCAUUCCGCUGUUCGUUUCUGGCGAUAGGAACAUCCGGACUUGCCUUAACCGAGAAACAGCUGGAAGCAGCUGGAAGACGGUACCAUUUAACGUCAUUGGACAAAGUUCAAUGCAUGCAGCAUUAUUAUGGGCAUUCUUGAUUAUCUGCUUCAUAGACUCUCUCUUGGCAUUAUUCUCGUUCAAGGUUGCAUAUAGUAUAAAUAGCAAUAUCUUUCUGUAGAUGUGCACUGGGGAAUUUGAUCGACGGAACAACCAAAUAGCAUUCAUAUUUAUACACAUUUAGAGAAUAAUUUAAGUAAUAGCAAGGCACCAUUUCACACUGAGUCGCAUUGGCCUGGUUAUUUCAUACUAAUAGUCGAGCCAACGCUUAACACUAGGU